GAUGAACGCUAGCUGCAGGCUUAACACAUGCAAGUCGCGCGGCAGCACGGUGGUUGCUUGCUCUCCCCGAUGGCGACCGGCGCACGGGUGAGUAACGCGUAUUCAACCUGCCUUUCACCACGGGUUAAGCCGGCGAACGUCGGACUAAAACCGUAUGGUGUCCCUUGACGGCGUCCGGGAUCGUCGGAACGCUUGGGGGUGAGGGAGGGGGUUGCGUCAGAUUUGCUAGGCGGGGGGGUGACGGCCCACCGUGGCUACGAUCGGUAGGGGUUCGGAGAGGAAGGUCCCCCAGACUGGAACUGAGACACGGUCCAGACUGCGACGGGAGGGAGCAGUGAGGAAGAUAGGGGACUGGGCGUAAGCCUGAACCAGCCAAGUAGGGUGCAGGAGGACGGCGCUAGGGGUUGUAAACUGCUGUUAGGCGGGGAUAAAGGGGCACAAGUGUGGGCUUUUGAAGGUACCGCAUGAAUAAGGACCGGCUAACUCCGUG
rnacentral:rRNA from 1 species